GCAAGUCGAGCGGUAACAGGGGAGCUUGCUCCUGCUGACGAGCGGCGGACGGGUGAGUAACGCGUAGGAAUCUGCCUAGUAGAGGGGGACAACAUGUGGAAACGCAUGCUAAUACCGCAUACGCCCUACGGGGGAAAGGAGGGGAUCUUAGGACCUUCCGCUAUUAGAUGAGCCUGCGUGAGAUUAGCUAGUUGGUAGGGUAAAGGCCUACCAAGGCGACGAUCUCUAGCUGGUCUGAGAGGAUGACC
rnacentral:rRNA from 1 species